rnacentral:tRNA from 1 species
UGUGGGAUUAGUAUAGUGGUUAGUAUUUCUGAUUGCCAUUCAGAGGACAGGAGUUCGAAUCUCCUAUCUCACAUAUU